GAUGAACGCUAGCUACAGGCUUAACACAUGCAAGUCGAGGGGAAACGGCAUUUAGUGCUUGCACCGAAUGGACGUCGACCGGCGCACGGGUGAGUAACGCGUAUCCAACCUACCCAUUACUGUGGGAUAACCUGCCGAAAGGCAGACUAAUACCGCAUAGUCUUCGAUGACGGCAUCAGAUUUGAAGUAAAGAUUUAUCGGUAAUGGAUGGGGAUGCGUCUGAUUAGCUUGUUGGCGGGGUAACGGCCCACCAAGGCAACGAUCAGUAGGGGUUCUGAGAGGAAGGUCCCCCACAUUGGAACUGAGAUACGGUCCAAACUCCUACGGGAGGCAGCAGUGAGGAAUAUUGGUCAAUGGGCGCGAGCCUGAACCAGCCAAGUAGCGUGCAGGAUGACGGCCCUAUGGGUUGUAAACUGCUUUUGUAUGGGGAUAAAGUCAAUCACGUGUGAUUGUUUGCAGGUACCAUACGAAUAAGGACCGGCUAAUUCCGUGCCAGCAGCCGCGGUAAUACGGAAGGUCCGGGCGUUAUCCGGAUUUAUUGGGUUUAAAGGGAGCGUAGGCCGGAGAUUAAGUGUGUUGUGAAAUGUAGACGCUCAACGUCUGACUUGCAGCGCAUACUGGUUUCCUUGAGUACGCACAACGUUGGCGGAAUUCGUCGUGUAGCGGUGAAAUGCUUAGAUAUGACGAAGAACUCCGAUUGCGAAGGCAGCUGACGGGAGCGCAACUGACGCUAAGCUCGAAGGUGCGGGUAUCGAACAGG
rnacentral:rRNA from 1 species